AUUGAACGCUGGCGGCAGGCCUAACACAUGCAAGUCGAGCGGCUGACGGGAGCUUGCUCCUUGAUUCAGCGGCGGACGGGUGAGUAAUGCCUAGGAAUCUGCCUGGUAGUGGGGGACAACGUUUCGAAAGGAACGCUAAUACCGCAUACGUCCUACGGGAGAAAGCAGGGGAACUUCGGGCCUUGCGCUAUCAGAUGAGCCUAGGUCGGAUUAGCUAGUUGGUGGGGUAAUGGCUCACCAAGGCGACGAUCCGUAACUGGUCUGAGAGGAUGAUCAGUCACACUGGAACUGAGACACGGUCCAGACUCCUACGGGAGGCAGCAGUGGGGAAUAUCGGACAAUGGGCGAAAGCCUGAUCCAGCCAUGCCGCGUGUGUGAAGAAGGUCUUCGGAUUGUAAAGCACUUUAAGUUGGGAGGAAGGGCAGUAAGUUAAUACCUUGCUGUUUUGACGUUACCGACAGAAUAAGCACCGGCUAACUCUGUGCCAGCAGCCGCCGUAACAC
rnacentral:rRNA from 1 species